rnacentral:lncRNA from 1 species
AUGGUUACUAACAAAUCCCCUCGAAGUGAAAAUAAAUGUGUGCAGUCGCGUGACACCCUUCCUUUUUCUUCCUUCCCUAUGGCUGGGGCCCAUUUGGCACCAAGCAUCAUGCUGUCCAGAUGGUGGCCAUUUCUCUGCUCCUGCUUUAGCACAUUCUCUGCCAAGACUCUGAGUGCCAGUUUUCCGGUCAUCAGAGCAUGUGUGGCACUGCCCACAAGUCCUUGGUGGGUUCUGGAGCUGUCCAAGGUUCCAAAGUUCCAGGGAGGGAGCCUGCAGCAGUCAGAGGGCUCUGGGCUCUGCUCAACUCAGUACUGUGAGGAGCAUAAGGACAUCAUGACAUUUGGACUAACAUCCUACAGAAUUGUAGAGAAGGUCAAAUAUAAAACUCAAGCAAGGGAUCCCUGGGUGGCGCAGCGGUUUGGCGCAUGCCUUUGGCCCAGGGUGCAACCCAGGAGACCCGGGAUCGAAUCCCCUGUCGGGCUCCCGGUGCAUGGAGUCUGCUUCUCCCUCUGCCUAUGUCUCUGACUCUCUCUCUCUCUGUGUGACUAUCAUAAAUAAAUAAAAAUUAAGAAAAAAAUUAAAAAAAAAU